ensembl:snoRNA
AAGCAACACUGUGGCAGACUGUCAAAACCAUCUGAUGCAAUCUGCACUUGCUAUAGCAAGGAAGUCUAACCUACUCUGGUAUUCUCUCUUCUGUGAGACUAGCUGUUACUUAAGACAGCGUUAAA